GGUAUCUAUAGCUUCAUACUGAGACAAUCAUAUCUUUAGGAUAUGGCCUAUACCCAUAUCUUUAGGAUCAGAACCACCCAGCGCCUCCUGAGCUUUCUUAUCAGUCUCAACUGUUUGUAAUUCUCAGGAAGCGAGAAAACUGAGAACAACUGUCUGAAAGUGAUCUGCAAGGUAAGGUAUCCUCUGAAACAACCUUUCUAUAUUUACAUAAGUUAUCCCUUCUAUAGCAAGAUAAUCCUUAAGUAAUGCUGGCAUUGUGUCUCUAGGAAAAAAUUCCACAGUAGAUACCUUGGGAUUUGCCCUCAAAGGUUUCAAAAUCGAGGUUACACUAUCUUCGAGGCAAUUUGGUUCCUGGGCUACAAUUAUUGAUGAUUUUCCUUUCCUUGAAACCAGUUGAAAAACUUGUGAAACAGAGGUUGAUAUUUUUUUUGUGGGUAUGUCUGCAGGUUGUGGCAUGGUUUUAGAGACGAUUGGGGGUGAGAUGAAAGAGACUACUGGCUUAGGGGAAGUGGUCAAGGUGUUUGUGGCUACCAUGGUUUGGACAGUAUCUGUGAUAAGAAGGCGAGGUGGUUGAGCUUGGAUCUGUGGGGCGUUUGUAUCUAUGGUAUACUUUAUUGGUUUGAAACUGGCCUAUUUAUGGGGAGUGUUCACCUUUAACCAAGGACGCCUUUAACCAAGGACCAUAUUCACUUUUAACUUCUGUGUUUUCUUCGAGUUCUGGGUAUUGUAGAAAUUUGGUGUAGUUCCUUUGCAAGUGACCCAUGAUACCACAUCCAUAACAUUUAUCUAGCAUUUUUUUAAAACUUGAAAUGCACUUUUUGUUUACUGUCAUUGAUCUUUUGAUUAAUGAAACCAGUGGAGAAGGGUUGAUCAAUAGAAAGAGAGACUCUUAUGGGCAUCAUGUUCAUAUAACCCAAGUGCCCCUCAUGAGCAAAAUCAACUUCAAUGAACUUAUCCAUCUGAUUCCCUAUAAUCUGAGCAUUUUGCAUGUUGAUUUGAUUUGGUGGAAGGCCCAUCACUUGUAUUUAGAAUGGCGAACGGGUAAAAGAUAGUUCCUCUAAUGACUUGUUCGGUGGCCAUUCUGUGAGAGUUAGGUGUUGAUUAUGGACUGACCACGACCUAUUUUCUAGCACUACCCAAUCAUUCACCUCAUUGUCAAAAGUAAAUACAUUCUUAGCUUUGACUUGAAAACCCUGUUUGGUAUGCCAAGACUUUGUUAAAGCUGCUUUGAUAAUUCCUACGCUUAGAUGCUUAUCCAAAAUAAGCUUUCCCAUUAGAACUCUACCUUUCAUAUUUACUACACCUUGCACAUUGUUGGAUGUUAGAUGGAGAGUAAAUUCUUCGCAGUUAAAGGCGCUUGGCCUUCUUGAAAAGUUUGUUGACAUAUGUGAUGGAAUAAAGAGGAAACAGGGUUUUAAGUAGGUAAUUAAAGAAGCAGCAGAUUGUAACUUUUUGGGCAUCAAAUAUCAUUUUAAA
rnacentral:misc_RNA from 1 species